UUCUUCAUUUUGCUCCUCUCUCUUUCUCUCUCUCAAUACGAACAGAACAAAACGAAACGACGAAAGCAAUAAUCGAUUUAUCAAAAUCCAAUCGAAGUUUUGAUCGGUUUCGAGACAAAAUGGAUCUCUCCAAGUCGUCUUUUUCUUCUCCGAUUCCGCUUACUUCUUCUUUGUUAGGUCAGAAAUUUUUGGUGACACAAUCGUCGCGCCGCAGCUUCGUCUCCAACCAGAGGUCGGAUAAGAUCCCAUAGUGAGUCUCACUCAAAAUUAUGUAUCCAAUUUUGUAAUUUUCAGAGGUUCUAGGAUUAAAUUGUUAACGAAGCUUCUUCUAAUUCUCUAUUGUUGUGCACAUUGGAGAUAAUAUUAUUUGUUUCUGUUUUUUUUUUUUUUAUAUCAACAGUCGAACAAGAAUUGUGUUUCGUUUUGCAGUUUUGUAGAAAUUGUAUGUGUUUGAAAGGUUUGAAGCUAAGUAUAAGGUAUACUGAGGUCUUUUUCUAUAUAAGGUAUAUAUAGGUCUGAAACUUGGCAAUGUAAAGAAGAAACAAUGAGCUCCAAUGGUGGUGGCGACGACUAUAGCACCAAAAGUAUUAUAAUACAUUACCAACUAUUUUGACCAUUGCUUGGUGUUUCUGUUGUUAUAGAUUGGUGCUUGCUUUGCUCGCCAUUGCUUGUGGAACUCGACGAGUGUCUUGGUUCCUUCUGCGGAGUUUUCUAGCUUAUCUAGCAAACCCAUGAUUUUCUUCUUUCCUCUACUCGAAAGUUUAUUGAUUUUGUUGCUUACAUACACCUUUUGGGCUAUGAGGUUAAUUUCAUGCUUUCUGUGGUCUGUGGAAUGGGUCUUUCUUAAUUAUCUCACUGGGCGUUUUGCUUUACUCUUAUGUUUAACUGAGUUUAGUGGAGAAAGAUUCAUAAAAGGCUAGUAUUGAUGUUCAUAAAAUGCAUUCAUAAAAGGCUAGUUUUUGUUAAUUCUUGUUUGAUGCUCUUUUGUUAGGUUCUGAGUCAGCUGCUGGUGAAGAAACUGAUGCUCUUGAGUCCCAAAAUGCUGCCGUACUAAUUAAUAACCGUGGCGAUGGUUUGCUUACGGCUGUUCAUAAGGAUUAUUUUAGAGUUGUGAACUCAAGGGAUUUGCUUUUUAACGAUUGUGGUGACAGAGUUGCGCAGUUGCUACAUGUAGAAUUAGUUCCUCCUUACUCUCAGUAUGAUGCUCAUCAACAAGUUUUGAUUGUCAAUACUCAUUUGCUGUUUCCUCAUGAUUCAACUUUGUCUAUAGUAAGACUGCAACAGGUUUAUAAGAUUCUUCAGUAUGUAGUGUCACAGUCUUUAAAACACUGUGAAUACAUAAUUGGGCAUUAGGUUGAGAGA